GACGAGGCUCACAAACGUUAUUCGGAAUUACUGGGCUUAAAGGGUGCGUAGGCGGUGCGGAAAGUUGGGUGUGAAAUCCCUCGGCUUAACCGAGGAAUUGCGCUCAAAACUACCGUGCUCGAGGGAGAUAGAGGAAUGCGGAACUUACGGUGGAGCGGUGAAAUGCGUUGAUAUCGUAGGGAACACCGGUGGCGAAAGCGGCAUUCUGGAUCUCUUCUGACGCUGAUGCACGAAAGCUAGGGUAGCAAACGGG
rnacentral:rRNA from 1 species